CACGUAGGGUGCGAGCGUUGUCCGGAAUUAUUGGGCGUAAAGAGCUCGUAGGCGGUGUGUCGCGUCGGCCGUGAAAACCCUGCAGCUUAACUGUGGGCUUGCGGUCGAUACGGGCAUCACUGGAGGUUCGGCAGGGGAGACUGGAAUUCCUGGUGUAGCGGUGAAAUGCGCAGAUAUCAGGAGGAACACCGGUGGCGAAGGCGGGUCUCUGGGCCGAUACUGACGCUGAGGAGCGAAAGCGUGGGGAGCGAACAGG
rnacentral:rRNA from 1 species